rnacentral:rRNA from 1 species
GUACACAAAAAUGCACAUAUUGUGAGCUCGAUGAGUAGGGCGGGACACGUGGUAUCCUGUCUGAAUAUGGGGGGACCAUCCUCCAAGGCUAAAUACUCCUGACUGACCGAUAGUGAACCAGUACCGUGAGGGAAAGGCGAAAAGAACCCCGGCGAGGGGAGUGAAAAAGAACCUGAAACCGUGUACGUACAAGCAGUGGGAGCCUCUUUAUGGGGUGACUGCGUACCUUUUGUAUAAUGGGUCAGCGACUUAUAUUCUGUAGCAAGGUUAACCGAAUAGGGGAGCCGAAGGGAAACCGAGUCUUAACUGGGCGUUAAGUUGCAGGGUAUAGACCCGAAACCCGGUGAUCUAGCCAUGGGCAGGUUGAAGGUUGGGUAACACUAACUGGAGGACCGAACCGACUAAUGUUGAAAAAUUAGCGGAUGACUUGUGGCUGGGGGUGAAAGGCCAAUCAAACCGGGAGAUAGCUGGUUCUCCCCGAAAGCUAUUUAGGUAGCGCCUCGUGAAUUCAUCUCCGGGGGUAGAGCACUGUUUCGGCAAGGGGGUCAUCCCGACUUACCAACCCGAUGCAAACUGCGAAUACCGGAGAAUGUUAUCACGGGAGACACACGGCGGGUGCUAACGUCCGUCGUGAAGAGGGAAACAACCCAGACCGCCAGCUAAGGUCCCAAAGUCAUGGUUAAGUGGGAAACGAUGUGGGAAGGCCCAGACAGCCAGGAUGUUGGCUUAGAAGCAGCCAUCAUUUAAAGAAAGCGUAAUAGCUCACUGGUCGAGUCGGCCUGCGCGGAAGAUGUAACGGGGCUAAACCAUGCACCGAAGCUGCGGCAGCGACACUAUGUGUUGUUGGGUAGGGGAGCGUUCUGUAAGCCUGUGAAGGUGGCCUGUGAGGGUUGCUGGAGGUAUCAGAAGUGCGAAUGCUGACAUAAGUAACGAUAAAGCGGGUGAAAAGCCCGCUCGCCGGAAGACCAAGGGUUCCUGUCCAACGUUAAUCGGGGCAGGGUGAGUCGACCCCUAAGGCGAGGCCGAAAGGCGUAGUCGAUGGGAAACAGGUUAAUAUUCCUGUACUUGGUGUUACUGCGAAGGGGGGACGGAGAAGGCUAUGUUGGCCGGGCGACGGUUGUCCCGGUUUAAGCGUGUAGGCUGGUUUUCCAGGCAAAUCCGGAAAACCAAGGCUGAGGCGUGAUGACGAGGCACUACGGUGCUGAAGCGACAAAUGCCCUGCUUCCAGGAAAAGCCUCUAAGCAUCAGGUAACAUCAAAUCGUACCCCAAACCGACACAGGUGGUCAGGUAGAGAAUACCAAGGCGCUUGAGAGAACUCGGGUGAAGGAACUAGGCAAAAUGGUGCCGUAACUUCGGGAGAAGGCACGCUGAUAUGUAGGUGAAGCGACUUGCUCGUGGAGCUGAAAUCAGUCGAAGAUACCAGCUGGCUGCAACUGUUUAUUAAAAACACAGCACUGUGCAAACACGAAAGUGGACGUAUACGGUGUGACGCCUGCCCGGUGCCGGAAGGUUAAUUGAUGGGGUUAGCGGUAACGCGAAGCUCUUGAUCGAAGCCCCGGUAAACGGCGGCCGUAACUAUAACGGUCCUAAGGUAGCGAAAUUCCUUGUCGGGUAAGUUCCGACCUGCACGAAUGGCGUAAUGAUGGCCAGGCUGUCUCCACCCGAGACUCAGUGAAAUUGAACUC